CAUUUCUGAUGGGCAGGCACAGUGCCACCUGGGUUUCCUGUUGGGGCUGAGGCUGUGGACAGUUUAGAUGGGCAGCCACAGUGCCACCUGGGGUUCUGGUGAGGCUGGGGCUGUGGACAGCUGCAUUUCUGAUGGGCAGGCGCAGUGCUACUUGGAGUUUCUGGUGAGGCUGAGGCUGUGGACAGUUGAGAUGGGCAGGCACAGUACCACUUGGGGUUCCUGGUGAAGCUGAGGUUGUGGACAGUUGGAUUUCUGAAGGGCAGGCACAGCACUACCUGGGGUUCCUGGUGAUGCUGAGAUUGUGGAGAGUUGACAUAAGCAUUCACAGUGCUGCCUAGGCUUCCUAGUGAGACGCUGGCUCUGGACAGGUGCAUUUCUGAAGGGCAGGCACAGUGCUACCUGGGGUUCCUGUUGAGGCUGGGACGGUGGACAGGUGGAUUUCUGAUGGGCCGGCACAGCGCUACUUGUGUUUCCUGGUGAGGCUGAGGCUGUGGACAGUUGCAUUUCUGAUGGGCAGACACAGCCGUACCUGUGGUUUUUGGUGCUGCUGAGGCUGUGGACUGCUGCGUGUCUGAUGGGCAGGCACAGGGGUACCUGGGGUCCCUGGUGAGGCUGAAGUUGUGGACAUUUGAGAUGGGCAGGCACAGCGCUUCCUGGGGUUCCUUUUAAGGCUGAGGCUGUGGAUAGUUGUAUUUCUAAUGCGCAAGCACAGCAGUACCUGGGUUUUCUGUUGAGGCUGCGGCUGUGGACAGUUGAGACGGGCAGGCACAGUGGUACCUGGGGUCCCUGGUGAGGUUGAGGCUGUGGAUAGUUGAGAUGGGCAGACACAGUGCUAUGUGGGGUUCCUGGUGAGGCUCAGGCUGUGGACAGUUGAGAUGCGCAGGCACAGAGCUACCUGGGGUCCCUGGUGAGGCUGAGUCUGUGGACAGUUGAGAUGGGCAGGCACAGAGCUACCUGGGGUCCCUGGUGAGGCUGAGGUUGCGGACAGCUGCAUUUGUGAUGGGCAGGCCUAGUGCUGCCUGGGGUCUCUGGUGAGGCUGAGGCUGUGGACAGUUGUAUUUCUGAUGGGCAGGCACAGCAAU